UACGGAGGGAGCUAGCGUUGUUCGGAAAUACUGGGCGUAAAGCGCACGUAGGCGGCGCAGCAAGUCAGGGGUGAAAUCCCGGGGCUCAACCUCGGAACUGCCUCUGAAACUGCAGUGCUAGAAUCUUGGAGAGGCGAGUGGAAUUCCGAGUGUAGAGGUGAAAUUCGUAGAUAUUCGGAAGAACACCAGUGGCGAAGGCGACUCGCUGGACAAGUAUUGACGCUGAGGUGCGAAAGCGUGGGGAGCAAACAGGG
rnacentral:rRNA from 1 species